GCUGAGGGGCGCCAAGCUGGGCGGGGGCGGCGGAGAAGUGUUUGGCGCGAGAAACAUUACACCAUGACAUUACCGCUGACGGGUCUCUGUCAGGCUCUCAAGGUCGAUAUCUUGUAUGACGCACACCACUUCCCUUGCCUUACCUGAGGAGUACUCCUGCCCACGCAGCAUCCAGGGGCGUGCAGCGAGCUGAGUGACGCGCCCUGCACGCAGUGGCAGCUCGGGGCAGUAAUGCGGGGGCGUCACGAGCUAGGAUGACAAACCCCCCCCACUCAAGUGAUAAACAUGACUCGUGAAACCCGUGCUGCUUAACAAAGAAAAGUCCAGAAAAGACAUCUUUGUUGACAUUUUGGUUUGGAAUGCCUGGAGGCGCCUUGCUUACUUUCUCACAGCCACUUUCUCUCACUCACUGCCCCAAGGGGUGAAGCAGCAGCGUGUUGCAGGCAGCCUUGGUGUGGUGAGUGGUGAUGGAGCCACGACGCAGUGGCCGGGGCUCAACGGGAGGAGGACCAGGCGUCGCUUACAGCCUCAGGAUAGAGAAUGCUGCAGGCAUGUCUCGCAUCCCUGCAAGUCUGUCCAUUCCAUCCUCCACUGGUCCUGCCAUCAUGAGCUCCUUGGCCUCUGACACUCCCUGUGACACCUACUUCAACUCUAUGGCAUCUCAGCAGAGCAGCAUUGCGCCAGACAUCCUCAACACGCAGGAGAUGCGCAGUGUUGACCUGGAGCCUGUGGAGAAGAAGUGCUUCAAGCUUAUCAAUGAGAAGGAGGAGCUGCAGGUGAAGAAUGCCAAAGAGUUGCUGAGUAAGAUGGGGUGUUCCAGUGACAAGAACCUCUAUAUCAAGGUGGUCUCCAUAUUUGGUAACACUGGCGAGGGAAAGUCGUACACACUGAAUGAAAUUUUCUUUAAUGGUGCUGAAGUCUUCAAGACAAGUGCCAACCAGAGCUCCUGUACCCUGGGUGUGUGGGGGGCGUACGACCCCUUCACCAAGGCACUUGUCCUGGACACCGAAGGUAUGCUUGGCAUCAGCAACAGCUCCAAGCAGCGGAAACGCCUUCUACUUAAGGUUCUUGCCAUUUCUGACAUCAUUAUCUACAGGACUCGGGCAGAACGACUCAACACUGACAUGUACAAAUUUUUAGCCGAGGCCUCGCGGGCAUACACCAAGUACUUCCGUGGUGAUCUUGAGGCCGUGGCACGUAAGGCAGAGUGUGACUGUAUCUUUGGCCCCCCCGUCUUCAUAUUCCAUGACACCCGACACACCAACGUUCUUACAGAAGAGAUGGGCCAGAAACCUGAGGAACAGCUCAAGGAAAACUUCACCAAGCAGGACCUCAAGAUUGAUGGCUUCAACAGCAUCCACUACAUUGGUGAGCGGAAUAAUGGAAGGGACACAGACUUCAAGAGGAUCAAGAAGGUGGUGUUUGAGGAGCUCAGCAACAUCAAUGUUAGAUCACCUCGUCAACCUAAAAUUAUUCUAGAUAUGUUAGAUACCAUCAACAAAAAAUUCAGUGGGCAGAUACAGAGCAGUGAGCCAGCCUUUCCUGAUGAGUACUUCACCUGCACCAGCGUGUGUGAGGCAUGUCAGUCCCGCUGCUGUCUCUUCAUGAACCACUACAAGCAUGACAACGGCUCCAAGCACCACCAUGCUGAGCGUCAGUGUAAAUACCACCAUAAGUUUGAUAAUAAGGUGUUCAUAUGCCGGAAGUGUGACUCUGAGGGGGAGCGCCGCCUGGUGGUGCCCAAGACAGCAUCCGCCAAGGACAGCACAUGGCUCGGCCUUGCUAAGUUUGCUUGGUCAGGGUACGUGCUGGAGUGUGAGAAGUGUGGCAUUAUCUACCGCAGCCGCCAGUACUGGUAUGGCAAUGAGUCACCGGACAGGACGGUGGUGAAGGAGGAGUACCAGCAUGUGUGGCAGGGCAGCGUCAUGGGCAGCACCGCUCAUGCUGGGCGACAGGUCCUGGAGGGCAUGGCAGCACUGGGUUCGGCUAUCUCCACCAUAUCCACACCCCCAGCCAAGGUCGUCUCAGCAUGGCUCACCAACCAAGUUAACCCCACCUACUGGAAGCCAAACCAUCUGUGCACUCACUGUAAGAUCUGCCAGGUGGGCCUCGACACCAUCCACCACUGCCGCAAAUGUGGAGACGGGUUCUGUGAUCCUUGCUCUGAGGAUAAGAUGCCGGUGCCUGAGCUGGGCUGGGGGGAGGAGCCAGUCAGAGUGUGCAAGAACUGCUACAAGGCCAGAAAUAGUGAGACAGGACAGGUUGAGGAUUACGAGUGGUCGAGUGAUGCACAGACAGUGCGUGCCCGGCAGGUCACCGAGGUGAUAUCUGGCACGCUGGCCACCGUGGCAAAGUACCCGCUGGACUUCCUGAAGGACAGUGCCCGGCCAUCCUACUGGGUGCCAGACGAUAUGAUCACCCAGUGUGUGGUAUGCAAUGCAGAAUUUGGGCCACGCCUACCCCUCCACCACUGCCGGGCAUGUGGCCAGGGUGUGUGCAGCAGCUGCUCCCCAAACCUCCGAUCUGUGAAGGAGCGUGGCUGGGACCACCCCGUCAGAGUGUGCAACAACUGCAUCAAGUAGUAAACACUUGAAUUUUUCCAUUUGCAAAGUAAACAUCACUAAAAUUUUUUCUGAAAUAUUGUACGUUAGAGUAAUAGAAAAGAAAUAUCCUCAGGAAUAUAUAAUUUUAAAAGCCCUUUGAAGUUUAUGCAGAUUAUUUUUUAUUUCUUGAAUUAUACCAUAUAGUCCUUCACUUGUUAUGCAGUGUUAUUGCAUCCCAUAGUAUCACAAGAAAUUGCUUAAUUUUUCAUUUUGUUUACCUUUAAAAAGAGCGUUGUGUUCCAGCUUUUUUGUGACAGGAACACUAAUUAUUAAUUAUACCUUGGGAAAACAUUUUUUUUUCCGUUCCCAUUUUUUUUAUUUAUUUAUUAUUUGAGCUUUAAUCUUUAGUGGAUAUCUGGUAGAGUACCUGCUCUCUGAACUACUUUUACUGUCUGUUGUCUACUACUUAUUAUAUGCUUCUCUCUUGCUUGAUUACUAAUACUCCAUUUUAUCUGGCUUUUUUUGUUUGUCAGUAUAGAUUUUGUGAGUUUGGCUCAUUGAGGAGAGAGAGAGAGAGAGAGAGAGAGAGAGAGAGAGAGAGAGAGAGAGAGAGAGAAAGAGAGAGAAAGAGAGAUGAGUCCUUACAUGGGAUGAGGUCUUGAGGAGGAAUGUAGAGAACAGACAAACAAACAACAUGUAACCAUUCAGUGUAAUGAAGUGCAGCCUAGCAAUGAAAGGUGACACUUGUGAAUCCAGAACCUGCCUUUCAGAACACUGCCCCAUCACUUACCACAGACUGAGUAUUUCCCAUGGUUCUUUUCAUAUUCUUAUUUUACUCGUCCUCAAAUUUUCCUUUCAUAGUCUCACAUUCAGUUUACUUAUAUAUUUUUGUAUCUUUUUCUUUUAUAUAUGCUCAUAACAUUUUAAUCUUUUCAUAUGUCCAUUCAGUAUUAUUUCUUUUGAUUCACCCUCCAGGUUACUGUUUUGAGGGAGACAUUGAACUUAUAAGACUGCAUAUUUGCCAUUGUAACAAGUGGAUGACUAUAUUGUUUGUUCCUAAACAUGCAUAGUGUAUGUAUUUCGGGGAUCAUUUUAUUAUAUGUAUUUUUACUGAAAAGGAAGAAACAAAGGAUAGAUAUACAAGAUAAAACCUAAUUUUCAGAAGUACAACCAAAGUAAUGUAAGUUACACCCGAGAGGAGUGACAGGAAGCCUGGUGCUCGUGUGCUGCUGCCACACGCCCCUCAGGGUGUUGGGGCCGCACUACAUUACUGGUGCAUAUAGGAAGAAGAUACUGGAAUGAUGAGAAAAAUGGAUUCAAUUUUAUAUCAAUCCAUCAUGUGCUGGAUACUUCUGCCCUUGCAUCACCUGUGGUGAACUUUUGUUUAUUUUUAUUUUUAUGAAUCACUGUCUUGGCACUAAGAGAGAUGCAAGGGCCCUGGCACUUGUUGAAUUAAAAGUGAAUUUCUCUCUCUCUCUCUGUUCAGUGCUUGUCAGUACACACAGUGUGAGGCAGCAAAACACUUAUCAUUUCAAGUUGCUGUGGAAGCCAGAGCAAAAUAUCUACUGAGUUGGUGUGUACUACUGCACAGUGGACAGAAUCUGGAAAUAUAUUAUGUAAAUGUUCUUACAGAAAAUAUUUGAAAAAAAAUUUGAAAACUGAAGGUUCCCAGCUUUUCUUUUCUAUUUAUUUAUUUAUUUUUUAUUUUUUUUUUACUUAUUUAUUUAUUUAUUUUAUUUUAUUUUAUUUUAUUUUAUUUAUUUUUUUUUUUUCAUUAAAAACUGAACACUUUUCUUGUACGAGUGUGAUAUGUUGGUCUGGCAGAGUGGCAGGUCUACCAGUAACCAGAUCAAGUGAAAAGAAACCGAGGCAAUAGUUUUAGUAGUACAUAGUAGUCUAUAUCAAGCGUGAGAAAUACACACAUAUGUUUAUUAGCACUGAAACUAUAGAUGUAAAGCGUAUAUUUGAAGUUUUCUUUGUUCUAUUGUUGCUCACACUAACCCUCACUGGUCUGUUGUGGAAUUAUUGCACUGACACACUGAGUGAGGCACCGGUGUCCAGCAGUGGCCCAGGUAUGUCCCUUCAUUCAAGAGCAAACUGACCUGAAGCCACAUUUCCCUGAAAGUUCCUUAGUAAAAUAGAACUUUCAACAUUUUGUGAUAUUGUGUUAAGCUGAAUGUAUUUUAAACCACACAAAACAAAACAUAAUGUUCAAGUUGGUAGUCUUGGCCAGCAGUGUGCAAGUUGUGAGCACCUGAAGAGUGAGGUUGGCAUCCUUGCACUGCCUGGCUUGGGUCAGGCACAUGAUAUUUAUCAGUCAGUGGUGAUGGUGUGCAUGAGUUUUUCUUUUUUAUGGGUGUUUUCAUUAUUGUGUUUAGGGUUUUAUUUUCAUUUUCAAGGGUGCAGUGCAAUGCUUGUUAUUUUCUCUGUUGGUUGACCAGUUUUACAUUACACUGAAUCUUGAAUUGAAAUAUUUGCCAUUUAUGUUAUUCAGUAUUAGUGUUUGUGUUUUGGGUGAGAGUUUGGAUAUGGUUGUAAAUAUUUAUGUAUGGUGGAAUAUAUGGUCAGAGAUUAAUUCCAGUUAACUAUUGUAUGGGGAAACACAGCAUUCAAUACACAGGCAGUGCAUUGUGAUGGAUACCUAGAUGUCGCAACAUCUCAAACCUGACAAGCAAGACCUGUAGUGAUGCAUUGUGUAUCACUGACCAGGAAAAAGCAUGUCUCCAAGAAAUUAUUAAACCACAAAUAUAGAAUUUAUUCAAAGCCCAACUCAAUGUCUUGACAAUAGGCAGAUUCUUAAGGAUACACUACAUAAGCUUACUUCAAAACCCAACUCAGUAUGUCUUGACAAAAGGCAGAUUCUUAAGGAUGCACUACUUGAGCUUACUUCCAACAAUGCAGUGGAUUUCAUUUAACAGAGAAACUUACUAGACUUGUUAAGUUAGAACAUUGGUCCAAGUGAUGUUUGACCUAAUGUGUCAUGCAAAAUGUUCUGACACAGAGAUGUAGGCUAGAGGGAGGGUUGGGGUGAAGUGGCUAGUCAUGAAGUUGAUAUAUCCAGUCAAGGGGAACUUGGUGAGACUGUCUUGAAUACUGUUGUCUUCACCACAUGAGGUGACUUGUGCACUGAGGACAAGGCUGCCAGGCCAAUGUUGUCAUCAAAACUUGAAUUAACUCACAUGAGAUCACUCACAUCAUUCAUGAUCAUGCAACCACAGUAAGUUUUCCUGUCAACCAAUUAAUUAAAAACUUUGCUGCAAGAGUUGUCAGAUGUGGCUUUUGAUGGCAGUCUUGCCCUCUUUUGAUGAGAUGCCUUGUUAUUCUAGUUGAAGGUUGAUGCUGAAGUGAUUGGUUGUGUCUUGCAAGUAUUGCUUUGUCACAUUUAGUUACUGGUGUGAUUGAAUAUUUGUCCAUUACCAUUAUCUGACCUUAAAUGAUUUAUGAUUAAUCAGUAAUAUUUUAUUAUUUAAUAAUCCUUUAACACUUAACUAUUGUUUUGAGACCCUGGGAUGGGAUGAUAAAAGCACUCACUUAAGACUGACAAACUUCAGUGUGUUAGUAUUAGACACUAGUAUGCAUGUGUGUGUUUGAGCACCACAUGCAUAGUACAUGAGUGUUAUAUAUUUCAUGUUUUGUGAUAUCAUAUAGGUAUUGUAUAAAGUUGACACAGAUUAUGCUAGAGUCCAUGAGAACAGAUGAGAAGUCAGCAGUGUAUAAAAGGUGCCAACACCCUGCCAUUCUCAGUCCAGCAGAGUAGUUCAAAUGAGAUCCCAAACGGGUCAUCAUGACAUUAUUCCUUCUCAUGUGCUCAAAUAUAUAAGGUAUUUUCGAAACCUGGUAAAAAAAUAGUCAUUUGUAUAUAAUUUUUAUAAUCAAGAUUGUUCAUUAUGACAUGUAUAUAUUUUUUGUAUUUUUAAUGCAUAUUCAUGUGAUUCAUAUAGGUCAUGGAAAUGAAUGAUUUUGUAUAAUGAUUUAUUUUUAUGAACUUAUCUGAAUUUGGGUGAAAAAUUUUCUUCCCUUCACCAGUCAGCACUGCACCAUCCCAGGAGAACCUUUGCCACAGCCAGUAGCCACUACCUGUUUGUGUUAUUGCUGCACCCCAGGUCAGGCACCCACACAGGAGUCUGACACUGUGAUGUUUCAGUUCACACAUCAACAGUGAACGUUGCAAUGAAAAUAAUUUUGAGCAUGCACCUAAAUGGAUUGUGUCAUUAGCAGUUCUGAGCAGAAUGUGUUAUCACUUUUAGCACCAAGGACUGAAGGACUGUGUGUUGAUGGAAAUGCAUACCUGUGAUAAGACUGCAAUGGAGUUUCAAGAUAAUUAAUGGCAUCACUGUUACAGAUGUAUUAGGUGUGCCAUGGGCAGACAUUUAGGAAUACUCUGAUUGAUAUGCUACAUGGAAAGGUUUGCAUGAUAUUAUUAUGAAUUCUGUAUACGUAUUAACAUGUUCACGUCACCAUGUAUCUUAAACUAGAGAUCUUGUGUUGCAUCCAUGAACAUGUUAUUUAGCUGUGUGUGAGAUAACCUUCCAAGAUGUGUCCUUUAGCUGUUGGUGAGGCCACUCUCCAAGAUAAGUGUUGAGCUGAUCCCUUAGCACAGAACUUUCCACCAUUAUCCAUUUAAAUUCAUAGGAUGUACAUUUCUUGCCAUCAUAGUUUUGUUUGGCCCUGGUGGUGUGUCCUGUCAUGCAUACAUCAGUCAGGAUAAAGAAGUCAUUCCAUUGGCUUGCUGCUAUGUAAGGUUUCUGCUUCUGUUACUCAAUAAUGGAUUUGUUUGUAUCGUUGAACUCUACCUAGUUUUGCCAUGAUGGAUGAGGCGUCUGCCCAGCCCAGGACAGAUGCACCACAGUUUGCUGCACCACAUAAACUGUACAUGUGGAAUUGCCUUCCUGAAUGUGCUGGUGGUUAUACUGCAGGUGGGCAGACCCUCUAUGUGAUUACUGGGGCUCUCUUUCCUGUAUCUGAAUCCCUGCAUACCACAGAGUACCUGGUGUGCCUUCACUACACAAGGUCUGCAUCACUGAACAACACCCUGAUUUGACAUGUUUCUUAUUAAUAUUUACCCUUACAACUGAAAUAUUAAGACAAGAGGCUUAAUGUUUAAAAACUAAAACUCCACAAACAUAUCAAGUGGCUAUGUUAAAGAAAUACUAAGAAAGACAAGCUGUUAUAUGCAUGAAUAAGAAACUUCAUACAUUCCCAAAUACAGAACCAGGUUGACUUAAACAGUUCCCUUCCAUCUGGUGCCACAGUAAUGUUAAGGUAUUACAACACAGCAACAGCGGCACAUCAAUGGUGAACUUCCCUGUAUAAAGCAAGAGAAUAUAUCUUAUGUUAGUCUGGAAAAGAAAGCCAGUUAGGUGAUGAUAAAGAAUAAACCAGUUGUUUUCAGCAUCAUCAUUUGAUUAAUUUCUAAAUACAGAAAAAAUAAAAGGUUCAGUAACCAGAUUUUUCAGUGAAUUUGUCAAACAUAAAACUCAUAACACAGAAGAGUUGAAGUGCUUUACUACAUCCUUAUUGGAGAGGCUGAUGGACCUCAGGGAGAAAAGGCUGAGACGUCACUGCAACACCUGAGAGGCUGGUCAGAGAAGCUUGACAACUAAGCUUUAUACCCUUUAACCCACCAACUGCCUGUACAUUUCCAUCUUUUCCUAAAACAAUGACACUGAUCAGCUCACCAAUGGAACAAAGGGAUCAAGGGGUUGUGUGAAGCUUAAACAUCAUAUUAAUCUAAAAUGAAAGCAAAGUAAAAUAAUAUAAUCUUUCUUCAUGCCCAGUUGACAAAUGUCGACUGCUAUGUUUUAUAUGCCUUUGUUUUGCCUCACAAUGGGGACUGUGGAGACUUGGGGUACUGGAGGGACCAAGGGAGUCUGAAAAGGAAUCUGGAGAGGAUUGGAUGGAAGGUGCUUGUUGCUACAACAGAUACUGAAAUUCAAAGCUGUAACUAUCAAACAAAAUAUUUCAUGAAGUGCAAGUCUUCAUGACUAUAAUGUUGCAAGUAUAAGGGUUUACAAACCACUCUUCUACAGAGAUA